rnacentral:misc_RNA from 1 species
AAGUCGUAACAAGGUAACCGUAGGUGAACCUGCGGUUGGAUCAUUAUUAAAGUAAAGCUUAAAGAGCUUUCAAAAACCGCUUGGGUUCCUACUUGGUAAAACAUUUAGGGCCCAAGUCAACCUUGUGUGAACCGUUAAUUGUACUUGGCAAUGCCUAGUCUAACUAGCUUGCCACUUUUAUUAAACACCCUUUUUUAUUUAGUCUUAAUCAAAUAUAAAAAUUUGAAACAACUUUUGACAACGGAUCUCUUGGCUCUC